rnacentral:rRNA from 1 species
CGGCACGGGUGAGUAAUACAUCGGAACGUGUCUUCUAGUGGGGGAUAACUGCCCGAAAGGGCAGCUAAUACCGCAUGAGACCUGAGGGUGAAAGCGGGGGAUCGUAAGACCUCGCGCUGGAAGAGCGGCCGAUGUCCGAUUAGCUAGUUGGUGAGGUAAAGGCUCACCAAGGCGACGAUCGGUAGCUGGUCUGAGAGGACGACCAGCCACACUGGGACUGAGACACGGCCCAA